rnacentral:rRNA from 1 species
GAUGAACGCUGGCGGCGUGCCUAAUACAUGCAAGUCGAGCGAACAGACGAGGAGCUUGCUCCUCUGACGUUAGCGGCGGACGGGUGAGUAACACGUGGAUAACCUCCCUAUAAGACUGGGAUAACUUCGGGAAACCGGAGCUAAUCCCGGAUAAUAUAUUGAACCGCAUGGUUCAAUAGUGAAAGACGGUUUUGCUGUCACUUAUAGAUGGAUCCGCGCCGCAUUAGCUAGUUGGUAAGGUAACGGCUUACCAAGGCAACGAUGCGUAGCCGACCUGAGAGGGUGAUCGGCCACACUGGAACUGAGACACGGUCCAGACUCCUACGGGAGGCAGCAGUAGGGAAUCUUCCGCAAUGGGCGAAAGCCUGACGGAGCAACGCCGCGUGAGUGAUGAAGGUCUUCGGAUCGUAAAACUCUGUUAUUAGGGAAGAACAAAUGUGUAAGUAACUAUGCACGUCUUGACGGUACCUAAUCAGAAAGCCACGGCUAACUACGU